GAGAAGAAAUGGAGGGAAAAAAGUGUUGAAGGAGAUGAUGGUUUGAGGACUGUAGAGUGUUUGAGAGGAAGAUUGCUUGCAGAGAGAACAACUUCAAGGGCUGCAAAAGAAGAAGCAGAGCUAAUGAGUAACA